AGUAUAUAGCUUGACUCAAAAGACAACACAUGAUGACCACUUCUACAACUUGUGCAUGAUCAAUUGAGCACCAUAUUGAGGUUGAAGCAAUAAUGGAUGAGGAGCAUGAGCACAAGAUGGAGAGAGUUCAAAUGCAUAGUGUUUUAGAAUCAUGACCAUUGCCAUUUUUGCCUCUAACAUAGCAAAAUUUUGCCCAAUACAUAUUCUUGGACCCCAAUUAAAUGGAAAAAAUACAACUUGUCCUUUUGUUGCUUUUGAUAUUCCUUCACUAAAUCUCUCUGGCUUGAACUCCAUUGCAUCAUCUCCCCAUAUUUCAGUAUCAUGAUGCACUAACAUUGUUGCUAAUAUGAG